rnacentral:rRNA from 1 species
GCUACGGGAGGCAGCAGUGAGGAAUAUUGGUCAAUGGACGAGAGUCUGAACCAGCCAAGUAGCGUGAAGGAUGACUGCCCUAUGGGUUGUAAACUUCUUUUAUAAAGGAAUAAAACGAGGCACGUGUGCCUUUUUGCAUGUACUUUAUGAAUAAGGAUCGGCUAACUCCGUGCCAGCAGCCGCGGUAAUACGGAGGAUCCGAGCGUUAUCCGGAUUUAUUAGGGUUAAAGGGCGCGUAGAUGGGUUGUUAAGUCAGUUGUGAAAGUUUGCGGCGCAACCGUAAAAUUGCAAUUGAUACUGGCAGUCUUGAGUACAGUUGAGGUAGGCGGAAUUCGUGGUGUAGCGGUGAAAUGCUUAGAUAUCACGAAGAACCCCGAUUGCGAAGGCAGCUUACUAAACUGUGACUGACAUUGAUGCUCGAAAGUGUGGGUAUCAAACAGGAUUAGAUACCCUGGUAGUC